CUGAGCUUAGGCAGCCCGAAUGGAUGGAAGAAGGCUCCCCUCAGCACUGCUGUCUCCUCAGUUGCUAAGCAGGAUUAGCCUCCUCUUCCUCAGGAGGAGGGGCUCUGCUCCUGCAUCAGCCACCAGCUCUGGCCCUAAUCUCUCUCGCUUUCUAAUCCACCCACGACUUUCUUAGGCAUUAGCGUUGGGCUCUCAGCUCCCUAAGCACCACCCUGAAGAUGGGAGCCUGGCUCUGAAGGGAAUUAGGCCAGCCUCAGAGGACGGCUUGGCAGACAACUGGAGAGAGGCUGAGAACACCACCCACCCCUCUGCUGUGCCUCCUCUGUAACUUCCCCCAGACAGGGUCUCACAGGAGUGCCUCCCAUUUUACUGCUAGAAGCAGGCAAUGAGACCCAGAGAGGACACCCAUACAAGGUCACCCAGCACCAGAUCCCAGCUCUGCCAGGCAGCACAGUGCCCCAUGUGGCAGCAGGGACACAUGCAGCUUCAGCUUGUAGGCUCUGCGUGUACCUCUCAGGCAGCGGAGCUAAUGUACCCUGGGGAGGAUUACCUGGAAUUGUCCCUUCCCAAGAUGGGUGACUUCCCAGCCCAGGUCUCAGCCAGAGAAACCAUCCCUGAGGAAGCUGGGGGGAUGGAUCCCACAGAGACAGUGAAGGAGAGCGGAGAUGGCCUAGCCCAUCUGGGAGCGAGAGCGCUGCCCGGUGACGGAGGCGCAGCAGACCAAGGGGAAAUGAAGAAGCCCCAAUAAAUCACUGUGAAGCCACCAGCUACUAAUAGACGAGCGGCCACGGGAACCCCAGCAUUGGUGCUUGCAGACACCCCCUCUGGCUGCCCGCUAAUGGCAUGGCGGGGCUGCAGACUCAUCAGGCUGGACGCCAGACCCUCACCUAGCAGGAACAAGACUCCAGGGGCCAUCCCUGCUGGACCUGGGCUGCCCUGCCCCCAGCCCUGCUGUGGAUCUGGACUCAGCCCAGACUGGAAGGGCUGAGAGAACUGAGCAGGGGGCACAGAGGCCAAAGCCAGGAGGCUCCAUGGUGCAAAGUGAUUCAGAGGCUCUGAAGUCAGAGAUGGCUUCAAAACUUGAUGCUGCCAGUUUCCAAGAUCCGCAUCUUUUGGAAUUUUGUCAUCUGCAAAGUGACUUAGCAACCUUCAAAAGCUGUAGUUUGGAGUCGAGUGAGCUGGCCUGUGGGACACAACUGUCAUUUCAAUGACUCAGAAGUCUGAGGCAGGAGGAUUGCAACUUCAAGACCAGCCUCUGCAACUUAGGGACACCCUGUCUCAAAACAAAAAUGUAAAAAUACUAGGGAUGUAGCACAAUGGUAAAGUGCCCCUGGAUUCAAUCCCCAGACCACCAAAAAAAGAAAAGUAGAGCAAUAAUCCACUAUCACUAUUACUUGAGGCCUUGUAAGCUUCAAUAAAUGACAGCUAGUAGGCUCAGAGUUGGCCUUAGGUAUGUUCUCCCCCUUUAAGGAAAGUUCUGUGCAGGCAUGUGAAUAUUCAUGGAAAGUGGGCAGCAUCCUGUCUAUUUGAUAGAUGAGGAAAUUGAAGCUCAGAAGUUAAGAGGUUUGCCUGAGUUUAUACACUAGAAGGUUCCAUUUGAAUCCCAUCCUAGAUUCUUCUCCCAUCCUCUUGUAGAUCCUCUGCUCCUUCCUUGAAGACUCCCUAUUCGCUCUCUCAGUAGAGGCCUAGGAAGGGACCUUGAAGCAUUUUGUUUAAGGCCAUGGGAGCUCUAGCAGUGACUACUGGUGCUGAUGAUAUUAGUUUCACCUCCCCAUCUACUACCUCCCACGGCCCUGAUACUUCCCUUUUCCCUUCCUUUUCUAGCAAAGGCUGGACUCAUUUCCUAGGCCCUCACUCCAGCACUGUGCUUGCCUGAAACCUUCCUUCUGAUCUGUAUGGGAGGCCAACUCUGAGCCUACCCACUCUGCCAUCUGAUUCACAGACAGACUGUCUAGGCCAAAGUCCCCUCUAGCCCAGUUCACUUCCUUCCUUCCUUCCUUCCUCUCUCUCUCCAAUGGACACAGUAUUUUGCAAGAUGGACAAGGCCCAUGUAAUGAUGCCCACUGCCUGGUGGAGACCCAAGGUCUGGAUUAUAGAAUAGAAUAGGGGUGUGUGCUGCCGAUAAGGCAGGUGCAGAAUCUAGGGAGGCCCAGUAUCAAGGAAUGAGUGGCUUGGGUGGGUGUGAGCAGUGGGAAUAGUGGCAGACAGGACCUCCUAUGCCUACUAGGGUUGGUUUUGCCAUUUCUCUCUCAUUGUUGAGGGAUCAUAAACACACCCCCAUAUCAGCCUCCAUCCUCACCUUGUCCCUGUUCCUCACACCUCCUCCCUUUCCUCCUGGUCAUUCUUCACUUCCACACUGGACAACAAAGCAGUCUGCUCUCCAGUUUGCUGCCAAGAUGACCUGGCACCUCUGCAAACUACUGCCCCCUGGCUUUCCACUCUGUUCUCUCCAGAGCCCCAUAUCUGGCCCAAGACUUCCAGUCUAGGGGCCUCCCUUCCCGGGGCCUGGAUCCUUACUCAGACACCCAAGGAGGGGGCCCAGGGAUUUGAAGGUCCCGAGGACCUCACCUCUCACCCCUGCUCUACCGAGAGAAGACAGGAGCUGCCUUCGCCCUCUUCGCGCUCCCGGUGUGUCUGCUGCGUCUGUCUGUCUCUCCUUCCCGGCCCACUUUCGGGCUCCCUGCUCUGCGGUCUCUGGCUCCCAAUCCCUCCGUCCCUCUCCCCGUCCCUCUCCCUCCCGGUCUCGGGCUCGGUUGCUCCGACUCUCUCCCGCCCGAAGCGCGCUCCCCAGCCGGGCGGGGGAAAUCGCUCCGUAAAUAGGCGGAUGGCCCCGGGCGCUGCGGGCGCAGACACUCGUUUUUAGAGCCGGUAAUUGACUCCUUUCAGUUGAUAAUUCAUGGCUUGCAUAUGCGCUUUAAUGCGGGCGCCCGGGGAGGCGCGGCGGGCGGGG
ensembl:lincRNA